GUGCUGGGCUCAUGGUUGGACUUGAUCUUAAAGACCUUUUCCAACUGAUCUUAAAGACCUUUCAAUGAUCCUGUGAUUCGAUGAUGAAUGUUUGGGAGUGCAGGACUGAGUUGUCCACACGGCUGAAAAUGCGUAAGUGCUAUUGCUCCCCUGGUGUGAUGGAUGGGGUUAUCUGGAGCUAAAAUUAAUAGAGGAGUAAUAGGAGAAAAGAAAAACAGCAGAUGACUGCCAAAAAUGAUCUGUGAUGGAUCUUGUAUUUUCAAGAUAUCCCUGUGUCAAUGUGCUUGCAAAGCAGUCUCUUCUACAGCCUUGUCUACCAUCACCAUUUUGAAGAAGAGGUCUUUUCAUGACUCACUUAAAUUCAUUUUAUCUGAUAGUCAAGAACAGCCUAAUCUUUAAUGCUCAAGUAUGAUGAUUCAAUUUGUUCCUUGCAACACUUAAACAAAUACAGAAAAUUAAUAGAAAUGUCAAGACACUGGAAAAAAACAACACUUGAAAGAGAAAUUUUAUGAAUUGAUGAGCUGAGAGCUGAGCUGGUACCAGCAGAGUGGGAUCAGUCUGGAUUUCCACAUUUUUCAGCCAUCUUCAAGACUGUUUCCUCGUGUUACAUGAGCCAGAGGGAGCCUGCAACUACACACAACUUGUCAAAGAAACUUGCACCAUCACAAGGCGUCAGCUCUGCUCUCCAGAGACCAAAUCUCCAGACAAUCAACUCGUGUGUGCUGCUAAUGCUUUGUUUCUCUCACUUCUCCCGUGUAUAGGAAACUGUCAAGCUGAAUUACACCUUAUAAGGUGAUAGGGAAAAGAUCUAACAUUUCUUUUUCCCUUUUACAAAUUUUUACAGUGUGUGGAAGCUAAUUUUUGUAGCCUAAAAACCAACCAAACAAAACAAGUCCUGCUGCUUUGGACCCGACAUCUUUCAGAUAGGAGAAAGAUUGAUUCCAGAAAUCCAUGAGCCUCAAAAAUCACCACAGUGGGGUAAUACCCCACUUAUCUCCUGCUUCUGAUGGCACAGAGGAAAGCAUCUCUGUCCUCUCUUGCUGAGAAGGCACAGCAGCUUCACUUCCGACUCAAUGGCCUUGGAUAGACAGCAUGUGACAACCCAGUGCUGAGGACACCUGGUUCAGCACAGCCAUUCCUCCUCAGACAGGUACCAGCAUGAUGAUUCAGAAACCCUUGAAGAUAUAGUCAUAUUUUCAGCAACAGAUGGAUUUAACACUGCAGAUGGAGUGUUAAGAGUGCAGGCUGUUGUACUCCACAGAGAGACGAACAGGUACUGAUCGAUUGACCGUGGUAAUCAAAUAAAGCUCUGUGAGUAUAAAUGGCUCUAAAUAUGGUGUCUCCUUAGGGGUACCAGUCAAGAUGAGUGGUUUGUAACUCAGGUCCCACACAGCUUUUGUGGGGAGGGGGGAGCUUGUCACUAGACUGUAAAGAUGAGUAGUAUUUUUGUUUAAUAUUUCACUUACACCUUGAAAUAAACUCUCCCUUAUCUUCCCUUCCUAUGCUGUCCAUAUUCUGUGGGUGAGCAGAGAGCCCCAGAGCUUCAGCAGGGAUUGCAGGCAGGGAUGGGUGUGUGGAGAGAGGAUCAGCAGGAUCACCCUGAGCAUCUCCAUGCAGUGGAAGCUGAAGGUGUGGCACGGAGCUGAUGAAUGCACUGACUCGUGGGGUGACACAAAGGACAUGAGUCACAGUGCAUCAAUCUUCCAAUCUGAACAUCCUUCUCCCAUGUGCAAACUGGUAGGAUGGACUUUUCAUCUUACUGGCAGUAUUUGAACCCUCCUCUCUUUGUUUUUCCUUCCUUACUUAUGAGAAUUAAUUGAAUCAAAAA